GACGAACGCUGGCGGCGUGCUUAACACAUGCAAGUCGAACGGAAAGGCCCUGCUUUUGUGGGGUGCUCGAGUGGCGAACGGGUGAGUAACACGUGAGUAACCUGCCCUUGACUUUGGGAUAACUUCAGGAAACUGGGGCUAAUACCGGAUAGGAGCUCCUGCUGCAUGGUGGGGGUUGGAAAGUUUCGGCGGUUGGGGAUGGACUCGCGGCUUAUCAGCUUGUUGGUGGGGUAGUGGCUUACCAAGGCUUUGACGGGUAGCCGGCCUGAGAGGGUGACCGGCGACAUUGGGACUGAGAUACGGCCCAGACGCGUACGGGAGGCAGCAGUGGGGAGUACUGCACAAUGGGCGGAAGCGUGAUGCAGAAGCGCCGCGUGCGGGAUGACGGCCUUCGGGUUGUAAACCGCUUUCGCCUGUGACGAAGCGUGAGUGACGGUAAUGGGUAAAGAAGCACCGGCUAACUACGUG
rnacentral:rRNA from 1 species